GAUGAACGCUAGCGGCAGGCCUAAUACAUGCAAGUCGGACGGGAUCCAUUGAUAGCUUGCUAUCAAUGGUGAGAGUGGCGCACGGGUGCGUAACGCGUGAGCAACCUGCCUCCAUCAGGGGGAUAGCCUCUCGAAAGAGAGAUUAACACCGCAUAAUAUCAACAGUUCGCAUGUUCAGUUGAUUAAAUAUUUAUAGGAUGGAGAUGGGCUCGCGUGACAUUAGCUAGUUGGUAGGGUAACGGCUUACCAAGGCGACGAUGUCUAGGGGCUCUGAGAGGAGAAUCCCCCACACUGGUACUGAGACACGGACCAGGCUCCUACGGGAGGCAGCAGUAAGGAAUAUUGGUCAAUGGGCGGAAGCCUGAACCAGCCAUGCCGCGUGCAGGAUGACUGCCCUAUGGGUUGUAAACUGCUUUUGUCCAGGAAUAAACCUAAAUACGAGUAUUUAGCUGAAUGUACUGGAAGAAUAAGGAUCGGCUAACUCCGUG
rnacentral:rRNA from 1 species